CGUCCGUCUCUGCGCUGCGACGCGUCGACCACAGAAACUCCAUGAUGGCCACGAAGACGGCGAUGAUGAGGCCGCAGAUCAGGACCACAAAAAUCCCCCCGAUGUUCUCCAUGCCGAGACCUGAGACACACAGAGUAACCCUCUAGGUUGGCGAGUAUGAGUAUGAAGGCCAUGCUGUGUGACACCCACCUUUGGCUCGAUGGUCCUCCUCUUUGGGACACUGUCCUCCCUCCCACCAGCGUCUCUUCAGGAUCUCCAGCCUGUUGCUCUCCUGCAGCUGUAGGAUCCCCAGAGUGAUCUCGUCUCUGUACGGAGAACCUGAGGAGUGAUUCACCAGCAGAAAUCCAGUCACUGUCCAGCACAUUCAGCUCUUUUAUUCAGUGUUUUUUAUUGAAGAAUAAAGUUACAUCCACAGUU